GCCCUCGUAGUUCAAUGGAUAGAACUGCGGACUUCUAAGCCGCUAAUGGGGGUUCGAUUCCCUCCGAGGGCA
rnacentral:tRNA from 1 species